CUGGCUGGUGUGGGACAGUCUCAGGGGCUGUCUCCUCCGCUUUCAGGCACCUCCGUGCUGCCAGAGGGGCGUAAAGAGGCCUCGGUGUAACUGAGAACCCGGCUCUCAGUUGCGUAGCUUUGGGAGACGUGAAAGAGGAGUUGAACCAGCCUGUAGCAGCCCGGGCCACGGAAACAGAAAUGGACGGUGACCUCCCCGACUGUGGGCAAACCAAAGGGGCUUGGGUCAGAUAUUAGGUGCAACUGACCUUUGAAGAUGUCUUUUUCUCCCAAGAGGAGUGGGAAGUUUUAUCUGACUGGCAGAAGGAGCUGUAUCGAGAGGUGAUGAAGGAGAAUUACGCCAGUCUGAUCUCACUGGGGUAUGAAUUUGGGAGACCUGCCAUUUUAUCGCAGAUUGGCCCAGAGGAAGAGCCGGGCCUCUCGGAUCAGCUGGAACUGAAAGGAAAAGAAUCACCUGCACAUGCUCUCGGGGUCCAGCUCAAGGUGGAGAGGCAUGACGACGUGUAUGAUGUAAGCCUGCGACAAGUCAGUCUAUUACCCCCGGGACUCUAGGGAGCAUGCCUUGCAGGCUUCCGUCAAGGAAGAAGCCUGCCCGAGUGAGAGCAACGUCUCCAAGCAGAACAGGAGGCUGCCCGUGACGUUAGAUCUGUCCGGCCUGAGUGACAAGAGGUCAGCUACAAUCCCAGAUCCCUUGGAGCAGGACAAGAAGAAAAGGAGCCCAUGUGAGAAGCACUUCUCAAAUCAUGCAGCUCUGGACCGUCACCAGCUCGCUCGUGCAGAGAGGACCCAUGUGUGCGCUGAAUAUGGGAAAUGCUUUGCUCAAAAGCGAGACCCGGCAAUGCGCCUGAGAGUCCACGCAGGGGAGAAGCGGUUUAAAUGCACCAGGUGGGAGAAGUGCUUCAUUCAGAAGCAACAGCUGCUCAGGCACCAGGAGACCCACGUAACCAAGCCACCUGCCUGUGCAGAGAGUGCGGGAGAUGUUUUCAAGCCAUUCAUGAUCUUUGGCGUCACCAGGUCACUCAUGCAAGAGAAACACCGGUCUUGGUGAUCACGGUUCCAAAGUUCACUUUUCCUGUUGUGUGUUACAAUAAAACAAGCCAUGGGGCUUAAUCCGCUGGGCCGCAAGUUGCACAGAAAGAACAAAAAUGCGACAUCUUGUUGCACGUGGGGAAAACUUGCCCUGACAAAUGGAAACAUAUUAUGUGCCCAAGGUAGGAACAGCAUCCAAAAAGUGUAAGAAAUAUUCCCCCACCCAUCUGAUGGGGUGGACACUUUAAAGCUCAUUGUUCAAUUCACCCUUAAUAAAACCACCGUAUAUCAGCACAUGGGACCUGAGUGGAACUAUUUAAAGGGUGGUUUUACUCUGAAAAGUAAAAAUGGCACGUUCUUGCUCAA